rnacentral:rRNA from 1 species
CCUACGGGAGGCAGCAGUGAGGAAUAUUGGUCAAUGGCCGGAAGGCUGAACCAGUCAAGCCGCGUGAAGGACGAAGGUGCCACGCAUUGUAAACUUCUUUUGUCAAGGGACAAAAUCAGGCUCGAGAGCCUGACCGAGGGUACUUGAAGAAAAAGCAUCGGCUAACUCCGUGCCAGCAGCCGCGGUAAUACGGAGGAUGCGAGCGUUAUCCGGAUUUAUUGGGGUUAAAGGGUGCGUAGGCGGACUGUUAAGUCAGCGGUAAAAGCCCGGGGCUCAACCCCGGCGAGCCGUUGAAACUGGCGGUCUUGAGAGGGCGAGAGGUAUGCGGAAUGCGCAGUGUAGCGGUGAAAUGCUUAGAUAUUGCGCAGAACUCCGACUGCGAAGGCAGCAUACCGGCGGCGAUCUGACGCUGAGGCACGAAAGCGUGGGUAUCGAACAGGAUUAGAUACCCCAGUAGUC